rnacentral:rRNA from 1 species
ACUUUACAAUGCGGGCAACCGUGAUAAGGAAACCCCGAGUGCCACCACAGGGUGGCUGUCCACCAGUGUAAAAAACUGGUGAAGAAAGGGCCGGGCAAGACCGGUGCCAGCCGCCGCGGUAAUACCGGCGGCUCGAGUGGUGGCCGCUUUUACUGGGCUUAAAGGGUCCGUAGCUUGAUUCACAAGUCCCUUGAGAAAUCCAUCGGCUUAACUGAUGGGCGUUCAGGGGAUACUGUGGUUCUAGGGACCGGGAGAGGUGAGAGGUACUGCCGGGGUAGGAGUGAAAUCCUGUAAUCCCGGUGGGACGACCUAUGGCGAAGGCAUCUCACCAGAACGGCUCCGACAGUGAGGGACGAAAGCUGGGGGAGCAAACCGG